AUGGCCACAUCAUAUUGAAACCCUAGUUCCUGUACAAUCACUGAAGUUAAGCAACAUUGAGCCUGGUCAGUACAUUGGGUGACCACUUGAGAAUACCAGGUGCUGCAAG